rnacentral:misc_RNA from 1 species
AAGUCGUAACAAGGUUUCCGUAGGUGAACCUGCGGAAGGAUCAUUAACACGUAUCCAACGUUAAACCCCCUGUGAACCUUCAUUGUACGAGUUACAUCCACGUCAUAAACCGGCAAUCUCUGGUAAAUCAUCGCCGAACAGUUUUGAUUCAGAGACCUCUGGGAAGGGUGUACGGUAGUGCGAGGCAAUUGACCUGGCAUUCCUCUGCUUGUUAGUGUCUGAAAGUGUCACUAGCUAUGUACGGAUGGCGCAGUAACGAUCGCUGGAGGCCGACACGGCCGGCGACCAGGUCACUGGGCUACGGCCCCCCUGAUCACAACCUUUGCAUGAAAACCCCUAAUGCUUGAACAACUGUUAACAAUGGAUAUCUUGGUUCUC